GACGAACGCUGGCGGCGUGCUUAACACAUGCAAGUCGAACGGUAAGGCCCUUCGGGGUACACGAGUGGCGAACGGGUGAGUAACACGUGGGUGAUCUGCCCUGCACUUCGGGAUAAGCCUGGGAAACUGGGUCUAAUACCGGAUAGGACCACUGCCUGCAUGGGGGGUGGUGGAAAGCUUUUGCGGUGUGGGAUGGGCCCGCGGCGCAUCAGCUUGUUGGUGGGGUGAUGGCCUACCAAGGCGACGACGGGUAGCCGGCCUGAGAGGGUGACCGGCCACACUGGGACUGGGAUCCGGCCCAGACUCCUACGGGAGGCAGCAGUGGGGAAUAUUGCACAAUGGGCGCAAGCCUGACGCAGCGGCGCCGCGUGAGGGAUGACGGCCUUCGGGUUGUAAACCUCUUUCAGCACCGACGAAGCGCAAGUGACGGUAGGUGCAGAAGAAGGACCGGCCAACUACGUGCCAGCAGCCGCCGUAA
rnacentral:rRNA from 1 species